CGCAUUCGAUUUUUUGCACAGCCCUUAUAUACAUAUUAUCUUUUGUACAGCACAAAAGUAGAUAUUUUAAGAAAUGUCUCAGUUUUGUUUGUCUUUACAAUGGAAGUAAGUGGGCACCAAAACUGUUGCCAAGUAGUCUUACAGGUUUGGAACAACAUGAGAGUGAGUAAAUUUUAGUUUUUGUGUGAAAUAUGUCUCUUAGAUGAAACCCACUGGUUCCACCUGUUAUCAGGAUGUGGUCAGUCAAGACAAAUCACUCUUUACUCCCGAUAGUAACAUGCAUUUCAAAUAUGUCACCACUUGUGCUUAGAUUUUGAGGAUCGGACGUACAUUGCUCACAAUGCCAGUGUGUAUCACAAAGGCAGCAUACUGUUGUUUCCACAUAAGUUUAGUCUCACUGUAAUUAAGAUGUUUUGAGAAGAAUUGUUUGUCAGACUUUUUCAAUUGGAUGGUUAAUUCUGCAUAAAGAAGUUACACAUCACAAAACAUUUUGGAUUCCAUUUAUGUCUCUAUUUAAUGUUGUCCACUUAUGAUUGACACCAAAAAGCAUUGAUACCAGGUAUAAGCAGGUUCUAUGAAAUUCAUCAGGUGGUAUUUCAUUCAUAAUUCCUCAUGUUGUGUGAACUUCGUUUUACAGGCACACUCUGAUGACAAAAGCAAGUCAGAUAAAGGGCGUAAAGCAGCUAAACCAAUGAAGAUCAUUGAAGAAGAUGAUGAAGAUGCCUUCAAGGGUGGCUCAUCAGACAAGGAACAGACUGAUUCUGACCCAGAGCCAUCCUCUGUACGACGGCUGGUCGCUGGAACAGUAGCAGGAUUCAAAUGGGAGAGCAGUGUAGGUUACAUUCACAGUUUGCUUCUGCACUUAUAUGGGAUCUGAUUUUGGUGCAGCUACAGCUGUGACUUUUCAUAGCAGCUGCACGGCUGGUGUGAAAACACCUCACUUUCGAAAUGCAAGUCAUUAUGUCCUUCACUGUAUAGUUGCACCUCUCACCAUGUCGCUGUCAUUAGUUGUAGAUCAAACAACUGUCAGGUCAGUAAGUCUCUUUGGAGAAUAGUUUCCAAUUUAACUCUCUUCCAUUAUAGCCAGUAAAGGAUGACCCACAUUUUCAUCACUUUCUGCUCAGCCAGUCUGAGAAGGUAAGGAGACUUUUUGCUGAGAUGCUGAUUGAUUUUCCUAGUUAGUGCAACCUUACCCCUAUCUCUUGCACAUUGCACACAAUGGC
ensembl:lncRNA